ensembl:lncRNA
AUAAUUUUCAGUUACCCCCGAAUGCACAGCCUUUUGCCUCAGGAAUGGAAAUAGGAGUUUUGUGGUCAGCAUGAAUGUUGAGAGUGGCUCUACGUUGCCUUUUUCCCUCUGGGAAAUGAGAAUUAGCAGGAUUCAAAAAGCGAAGUCACUUUGACUGUUUCCCCUUUUUUGCUCCUUCUUGGCCAUGGAAAUGGGGAGAAGUGAGUCAUCCCUAUGUGGCCAGGAACAGAUGAAAGUGAUGAAGCAUAAGUAGAGCCAGAGUAUAGAAUGCUCCUUAUUCCACCACUGUUACUUCUUUGGGACAAGGGAAACAUAUUCUGGCUGCAUUGGCCAAGAAUGGCUCCAGGUUGAGGAAGUAGCCAAUCAAUGCAAGAGCAAUAAGGACUGCCAUCACUCUUUGUUUCCUCAUCAUCCCAGUGAAAUGCUGGGUUCAAUUCUCCCUACUGUAGAAGAAAGCAGGAAAGAUGCUCCCUCUCUUCUGCUUCUUCCCUCACCUCCUCAUUUGUAGUCUCUGAAGUGCUUGUGGGUACAGAAAAAUAAGUGGCAGGAAAGGUGAGCUGUCCUUUAAUAAGCAAUCUUCCCUUCCUUCUUUAGUUGCAGGACUCUGAAUUGUACUGAACUUUUAUUGAAUAAUCGAUGAUUCUGUAAAAUCCCAUAUUCUCUGACCUCUUUUGUAGCUACACGUGGCCAUGUGAUCAAACUCUGGACCACAAGAUUUGAGCAUAGAUGUUAAACUUGAUGUGUGAAUUCUGGGUCACAGCUUUAAAGAAAAGGGAUAUUCUUUCCAUUGCCCUUUUCUCUCUUUCUGUUGAUCAGAGCAAAGGUAUGAUGAACAGAGUAGAAAGAGUUGUCUAGGACCAUGAGAUAGAAGCCAUGUGUUGAAGAUGGAAGAGCCAUAAGUUGGAAGAGGCCUGAGUUCCUGGUUGUCAAAUCUCUUUCCUUGUCCUAGACUAUAGUGUUCAACAUUUUCAUAGGAGAGAAAUAAAUUUGUAACUUAAUACAUUGUGUUAUUGGAUCUCUCUUUUAUAGAAUUGGGGCUAUGAUACCUCCGAUUUGAAUGACUGUCAAAGAACAAACAUGCAUCGCUUAUAUUUGCUGUGUUUUUCCUGGCGUGAUUUUCUUAUAUUGAAGAGUGAUGAUAUUUGGGAGAUACUGGCAAAUAAAAUCAGGCCAUGAGAAUUUUGGCUUAGCUUGGAGAUACAGCUUUUGUACCUACAUCAAAAUUUGUUGUGCAGUUUUAAACUGGUCAAAUAAUUGCUAACUGAUUUUCACUAGGAAUUAGCUUCAUUUGGUGGCAGAAUUUGUAUUCCUCCACUUUGGAUUGCUUCAUUCCUAUUGCAGUGUCGGUCUACUGAGAAUGUGGGCUCAGCUGCAUAUCUUUGGCCCUCUAUCGAACCCUGACAAUAUAAUGGACCUAUUCUGUAGUUAAUUCACGGUGUCUGGUAUGUCUCCAGCAGUUUAACAGAUGGGUCUCUAGUCAGCCUCCUCUCAAACUCUUUAUUAAAUAUUUAUAGAGCCAGAUUGUAAUUAGACCCAGCUUUGCCCCUAAAGUUAUGUGCACUGACCUCUGGACCAGGGAGGAUAUCAACUUGGUCAGCUCAAGGAGGAGAGAGAAAAUCUUUUUCUCCAAAUGUUUCUAGAAGCCCAAAGAGUCUUUAACUUACACAUGCUGGUGAGAUUACAAGUACUGCAGCAAUAUUCUCUAUAAUAAACAGAAUGUUACCUUGAAAGUACAAAGUUAUUAUUAAUAUGGAAAGAUAAAGAUGUCUACUGAGUUUGAAUAAAUCUGAAAUAUUUGGGGACAGGUUUUAUCACUCCAUGAAAAAAAUGUCGAAGUGAAUAAUGGCGCCUUUUGCUCAAGUAGUACAUAUAUAUGGAGAGUUGCCAGGAGAAAGUGCUAAUGAGAUGAGUUUGUGAGAAACGAGUAAACUUGGAGAUUUAAAAACACUUAAAAUAAAACAUCAUGCAUUGGACAUGUAGAGGAAGGUGUUAAAAUGAAAAUGCCAAUGUCGUUCAAGUCUUUUCACUGAAUGAAGGCAGGGAGCAGGGGCAUGGGAGGAAGGGGGUCCAGAGGGUGCUCCCCCAGCAGAGAGGAAUCUUCCUGCUCUCAGAGGUGGCCAGUCUCUGCAGACCAAAUGCUGCUUGAAUUAAGAGCAAAGGUAGUGGCCACUGGGCUGUUAAUCUGUGAGAGAAGAUUCUGGAAUUCCAAUAUGUGCUGUAAUGCCUCUGGAGAAAAAUGCCAAGACCACAGUCUUCAUGCUGUAUUUAUGUGUUACAUAAUCACUGGGCCAAAGAAGACGUCCAGUCCAUCUCCUUUUCUUGGACAGUCCCCUUUGAAGUUGUUCCAAAGACUUAGAGACUAAUCCAGGGAAACGUCGCUGUGCCAGAUUGUAACCACAUACUUAAUGUUAAUGCCACAAGAUAAAUUACUACCUCUGUCCUUUAAAGGUAUUUCAGUAGUUUCAGGAAAUUUUUCAAGAUCUUCUUAUACAAAAAUUUAAAUGACAGUGCUAAUUUGGCAGUAUACAAAACCAUAAAUGUCCUUUUCACUUGGCUAACUCCUUGAAUGAAAUCAAGUUAUAUUAUGACAAUAAAUGAACUUUGUAGUGUAUAAUCUUUACUAUUAUAAAUAUUGGAUGUUCUGCUUCUCCUUUAGCCAAAAAAAUUUCUGGCUGUUACAUCUUAAAAAAAAAAAAAUAAAAAACCAAAAACCAAAACCCCCAAACUUCUUUUGUUUCCAGUUCUAUUGACUUUGCUGUUUGUCACAAAAUUCUAAGGUGUCAGUGACACUCUAUUAAGAGCUGUAGAAAGACUAUAAAAGAAAUAUAUUCUUGACCAUCCCUAGCAUUUGAGGAGUUUAUAAUCUACUAGUAGGGGAGGAGAUAUGAGGUAUAAAUGAAAAGCCAUAAGUGUAUGUCCAUAGAAAACUGAGUUUGACGUGGCCAAGAUCACACAUACAGCAAACAAACUUAUGAGCAGAUAAUCAAGUUUUUUCUUAGAGAUGCGUUGAUGUUCCUAUAGUACUGCCAGUCAUGGCUGAGUUUAGUGUCUGGUAUAAUCUAAGAACUAAUGGGCAUUUUCUAUUGAUGAUAUGUUAAAGUAGUGUUAUGAGCUCUCAUGAAUAGGAUUAGUGCCUUUAUAAAAGAGGCCACACAUGCAGUGGAAAUGAAUUCAACUAGUAUCCAUGAGCAUGUGGGUUCAAUCCCUGGUCUUACUCAGUGGGUCAGGGGUCCAGUGUUGCUGUGAGCUGUGGUGUGGGUUGCAGAUAUAGCUUGUAUCCCACAUUGCUGUGGCUGUGGCAUAAGCUGGUAGCUACAUCUCUGAUUUGACCCCUAGCCUGGGAACUUCCAUAUGCUGCAGGUGUGGCCC